GAAGAUAUAGUCUAAUUAAGAAGAACACAUAAUAUAUCUUCUUCUGCCAUUGGAUUGAUAAUUAACAAAGAAGUGAAUCAAACAGAUCGAAUCGUCUAUAUAUGCAUGCUUCAGGUUUGUUAAUUUGUGGAGGUGACAGAAGAGAGUGAGCACUUGGCUCUUUCCUAGCAUGGAUCUAAGUUCACGCCAAAAGCCGUGUGCUCUCUCUCUAUCUGUCACCACCUCCUUUAAUUCCCUCCCCUCUUCAUUUCUUACUAGCUAGGAUCUUUUGCCUGUAGCAUAUAUAUAAACUUGAAAGUUCUAUAUUAGUACUUCAAUUGCAUGAUAUAUUCAAGUGCAAGUCAUCACUCAUCAUAUGCAUAUUUCAGUUGCCAAUUAUAAAAUAACAGGUAAUAUUAGGAAUAUAAAGAAAAAGAAUCAAAUUAUAAUGAUCAUGGAUACCUGUUCCUAUGUGACUGUUAAUGUGUUAAAUUUUUUUCUUCAUUAAUGCCAACUAUAUGAAGAUGUUUAUAUAUAUUGUGAGGAUUGCCAUGGAGACUGUUUGUAUGCUGGCACUGGUGAUCUCAUGCAGCAGCAGCUCAUUAGAUAUCCCAAACUAGAUGAUGCAAAACUUGCAAUGAAGCUAAAAGGACCUGGGAUACCAACUACCAUUCUAAGAUGUGCUCCUGACAGUUGUGUUGUAUAUAUUGUAGCUAGAGAUAGAAUUAUAUCCAAGUUGGCUGAUUUUUCAUCUUCCCGUUCUUGUGAAACUAGCCCAAGGAACUUCGUGUCCACUAAAGUAAACAAAGCGGACAAUCGUGCUGGCAUUGGCAGAGAAAUGUCUGGAAUUAGUUCAUUCUCGACUGAACCUAAAAUUCUAAGGAAUUUCCGGUUUUUAUCAAUAUCAGAGCGUAGUUACAUUGGUCUGCAAUCAUCUAGUCGUAGGGAUUCUUUUGAAAAUACUACCAAAAAUGAAGAAGAAAAUCCAGAAAACUGCGGAGAUGAUAUUGAAACUAUCAGCCUCCAUUAAUUUGAUUUCAUUCCUUCUGCACAACGUGAACAGUUAGUCAUGCAAGAAGAAGUGGAACGGCUGCAGCUGGAGUUGCAAAAUACUAUCACCAUGUAUAAACAGGUCUGUGGAGAGCUGGUUCAAGCUCAAAACGAGGCCCUUUUACUUUCUUCUGAAUCUCUUGAAGAAACUAAAAUAGUCAAUGCUUCCCUAAAAAGAGAGGAGAUUUUGAGAAAGUUGCCUGCUGAAGAGAAAACAAAGUAUUUAAAAGUCAUGAAGGAGCUUGAGGAGGCCAAAAUAAGUUUUCCAAAGAGUCAUAUGAAAGACAGAUGGCUGAACUUGAUGUCCUUAAAGAAUCAAUAGAAAAACAGAGAAUUGUGGAUACAUUGCUCUCAAAUGACAGGAGAUACAGAAAGUACACCAUGGAUGAAAUCAAGCUAGCAACGAACUUUUUUGCUGAGGACUUGAUAAUUGGUGAAGGAGGAUAUGGGAAAGUUUACAAGUGUAAUCUUGAUCACUCACCAGUAGCUGUAAAGGUUCUGCAUCAAGACGCAAUCAACAAGAAAGAUGAGUUUCUAAAAGAGGUUGAGAUUCUUAGUCAACUACAUCAUCCUAAUAUGGUAUUGUUAUUUGGAGCCUGUCCUGAGAGUGGUUGUCUUGUUUAUGAAUACAAGGAAAAUGGAAGUCUAGAAGACUAUCUUCUCAAAAAAAAAAAAAAAUGGAAAACCCCCACUUCCGUGGUUUUUUCGAUUUUGUAUAGUUUUUGAAAUGGCUUGUGGGCUCUCAUUCUUGCAUAAUUCAAAGCCAGAGCCUAUUGUCCAUCGAGAUAUAAAACCUGGCAAUGUCUUGUUAGACAGAAAUUAUGUGAGCAAAAUUGCAGAUAUUGGGCUGGCUAAACUCCUUGUAGAAGUAGUGCCUGACAAUGUCACUGAGUACAGAGAAUCAAUUCUUGCCGGUACUCUGCAUUACAUGGACCCAGAGUAUCAGAGAACUGGCACUGUCAGACCAAAAUCAGAUGUAUAUGCUUUUGGAGUCAUAACUCUCCAAUUGAUAACUGGUCGCCAUGCACGUGGACUCAUCGUGACAGUGGAAUUGGCUCAAGUAGCCCUUAAAUGCUCUGCACUUAGAUGCAGAGAUAGACCAGAAAUUGAUACUGAAGUUCUUCCAGUGCUUGAAAGAUUUUCUGAUGCGGCAAAUUCUAGUACAAGGAUGGGAAUAAAUAGUGUAAGUGUGCCAAGCCAGUAUUAUUGUCCAAUCCUUCAGGAAAUCAUGGAUGAUCCAUAUAUUGCUGCGGAUGGGUUCACUUAUGAGUACAUAGCAAUCAAGGCAUGGCUCAGCAAACACAAUGUGUCACCCAUGACAAAGCUUAAACUUCAGUAUUCUGUGCUGACUCCAAACCAUACUUUACGUUCAGCCAUUCAGGAGUGGAAGUCUGGAGUGACCUUUUGAUUAGUAAGCAGUGAAUAUCUUACUAGUUACUGCUCAUCACAACCCACUUUUACUUGCAGCAUAAAACCAGUCACAAUUUGAAUUGUACAAAAGGUUUGUAAGAUAGGUGAUGGGAUGGAGAGAGAUAGAGAAAAAAAAAAAAAUAUUGUAAAAAGUAUAGUAAGAAAUUGUUGUAUGAAAAGUAUAACUAUUUGAGAAUUUAGCAGCGCGUGCUCCUAAUUUUUUUUUUCAUUUAAGGUUGUAUAUAAACUUUCUUUAGCCAUUGUAUUUAGCACAAAGAGAAAUGUUAGCAACGUGCCAACGUGCAGACUUUUCUUACGAA